GAAACAAAGCUUAAAAUCCUUAAGUUUGACUACAGCUGGGCAGAAGAAGUCGAAAAACAUGAAAGAAGAAUGCAGGAAGCCCAGAAACACACGAGGAGAACGCGAAAGGCACAGAAGACCCCUCAGAAACUAACAUCAGGGGAUGAUCACAAUGUAGCGACUCCUAAAUCGCACAAUGUAGCGGCCCUUAAAUCGCACAAUGUAGCGGCCCUUAAAUCGCACAAUGUAGCGGCCCUUAAAUCGCGUCAGG